GCAGGAAAAUAUUCCCAAAACAUAUCGGAACCAGUGGUGAUCCGGAACCGGUUCCAGGUGUUCCGCCGGAAGUGGCCAAAUAUAAAAAUGAACUAAAUCCAUGCAUGCGACAUAUCAAACCGCGUCUUUUUCGAUAUCCUUGUGAACAGUAAGCAGCAAAAUAUUCUCAGAACAUAUCUGAACCAGUAGUAAUCCAGAACCAGUUCCGGAUGUCCCGCCAGAAAUGGCCAAAUAAGAAGCUGAUCCAAACCCGUGCAUGGAACACAUCAAAUCGCGGCUUUUUGGAUAACCCGAUGAACGGUUAGCAAGUAAGGCUCAGGCAACAUCAGAAACUAUUGGUACUGUUCCAGAAUCGAUUCCGGGUGUCCCGCUGAAAGUAACCACAUAUUAAAGGGAACCAAACCCAUGCAUGCGACACAUCAAAUCCUGGCUUUUUAGGUUUCUUGAUUUAUCAAAAAAAAAGUUUCCGACAAUAUUUGGGACAACCGAUACUGUUCCGCAACCGAUUACGGGUGUUCCGCCGGAAGUGGUCAAAUGUAAAGGAGAACCAAACCCAUAAAUUCGGCACAAAAAAAUACUUUUAAUACCAUUAGUGUGCCGAAACCGGUUCCAGGUGGCCCGCCGGAAGUGGUCAAAUGUAGAACGAAACCAAACGCAUGCACGCAUCACAUCAAAUAACGGCUUCUUCUAUAAAGCGAAGAACGGUCAGCAAGAAAAUAGGUCACAUUCAAGACUACCAGUAGUGUUCCGGAAUGUGUUUUAAGUGUCUCGCCGGAAUUGACGAAAUGCAAAAAUGAACCACACUCAUGCAUACGGUACAACAAUUUGCGACUUUUUAGGAAAACUGAUCCACAAUUGGAGUCUCCGGUUAGCCUAGUGGUUAAGGUUAUGGAUAGCCAAUCCGGAGACAGCGGGUUCGAUUCCUGUUCCGGUCUGGAAAAUUUUCUCGACUUCAUGGGCAUAGUGUAUCAUUGAACUUUCCUAACAAUAUACAAAUUCAUGCAAUGGCAGGCAAAUAAAGCCCUUCAAUCAAUAACUUAAGAGGCAGGCUAAGCCCCAGUGGGGUCGUCGAGCCAUAAAGAAGAAGAAGAUUCAUAAUUGGCAUGGAACUAGUAUGAGACCACAUCAGGGCCAAUCGGUACAAUCCUGGAACUGGUUAUGGGUGUCCUGCCGGAAGUGGUAUAUUGAGAAAUUGAACCAAACCUAUACGUGUGGUAUCAUAAAACUACGCUAAUUCGACAAUGAUUGCUGUCAAAUUACCGGGGUAACUUUUAAUUCGACAAACUAACUCUAUUUUAGUUUUUGUUUAGAUUUUCGGAUUCGUUUUUGAACACAAAUCCUACAGAUGCUGUGGUAGUAUGAAUUGAAAACGUGUUUAUUUUAUGAUUGUUUGCUUCCGAAGUUCACUGUGGUUGAUCACCAAAUGGAUCAUGUUCCGAUCAACACCACUGGGCUCCACACGAUGUCCCUGCCAGAAAGUACGACGUUGGGGCGAUCGAACAAUACAGCGAUAAUGGGCUGAAUGGCAAGGAACACAUGCACACAUAAGAUUGGGAGCCAAAACAAAACCGAAAUACGACAUCGUUUACCCAACGUGGAAGUUUUCUACUUUAAUGCUAUUAAAAAUUGUCUAAAACUUAGUGUAAAAUCAAUCGAACGCUUGAUUAAGUGAAAAUUCUUAAAAUUAUUUGCUAAACAAGUGCGGAUUCGCCAAACAGGUAAGCUUGUCUAAGAGGGUGAAUAAAAAAGAGGAUUUACACGGAAAGUUCAUUGCAAGUUAAGGAACCUAUCUGUUGCAAUCAUAGCCCUACGAGAGUCAUUUGCAAGAGGCAA